UUCAAUCGCCAUGAGAGCAGCAGUCAUGGCGAUGAAUAUGGGAGACCCAGCAGUCGUGGCGAUGAGUAUGGGAGGUCCAGGCUUCCACAGGGCCAGGAUGUUAGGGUUUUUACCUUGGCUGAAACCAACUACUCUCUCACCAUCCGAGGGGAAUCUGUGGUCUUGGCUCCUGCCAACCCUGAUGAUGAAUUACAGGCAUCUCUCUCUCUCUCCCUGUGUGUGGACACACUUCCUUGACAUUCGUCAAUAAAAAUCCUCUCUUUCUCUCUCUGUUUUUUUUAUUUACCAAUAAAAUUCUCUCUUUCUCUCUCCGUUUUUUUGUUAAUAAAAAGUCUCUCUUUCUCUCUCUUCUUUUUUUUUUUCCCUAUUUGACAUAUGGGUCUACUGAAUUCUUACUUUUGUUCUGAACAUACUUGGAUCCUAAUUGGUUUUGCCAUAUGGGUUUACUGAAUUAUUAUUUUUAUUCUAAUAUAUAAGUUUUUUAUGUUGGUUGUCUUUGCUUACAGCAUUGGAUCCAUCUCCAUAGUCAAUACAUUUCUUUUACCUUCAUCAAUCACCUCUUUCUUUCUUUUUUUCUGUUUUUU
rnacentral:lncRNA from 1 species